rnacentral:rRNA from 1 species
UUAAGCGACUAAGCGUACACGGUGGAUGCCCUGGCAGUCAGAGGCGAUGAAGGACGUGCUAAUCUGCGAUAAGCGUCGGUAAGGUGAUAUGAACCGUUAUAACCGGCGAUUUCCGAAUGGGGAAACCCAGUGUGAUUCGUCACACUAUCAUUAACUGAAUCCAUAGGUUAAUGAGGCGAACCGGGGGAACUGAAACAUCUAAGUACCCCGAGGAAAAGAAAUCAACCGAGAUUCCCCCAGUAGCGGCGAGCGAACGGGGAGCAGCCCAGAGCCUGAAUCAGUGUGUGUGUUAGUGGAAGCGUCUGGAAAGGCGCGCGAUACAGGGUGACAGCCCCGUACACAAAAAUGCACAUACUGUGAGCUCGAUGAGUAGGGCGGGACACGUGGUAUCCUGUCUGAAUAUGGGGGGACCAUCCUCCAAGGCUAAAUACUCCUGACUGACCGAUAGUGAACCAGUACCGUGAGGGAAAGGCGAAAAGAACCCCGGCGAGGGGAGUGAAAAAGAACCUGAAACCGUGUACGUACAAGCAGUGGGAGCACGCUUAGGCGUGUGACUGCGUACCUUUUGUAUAAUGGGUCAGCGACUUAUAUUCUGUAGCAAGGUUAACCGAAUAGGGGAGCCGAAGGGAAACCGAGUCUUAACUGGGCGUUAAGUUGCAGGGUAUAGACCCGAAACCCGGUGAUCUAGCCAUGGGCAGGUUGAAGGUUGGGUAACACUAACUGGAGGACCGAACCGACUAAUGUUGAAAAAUUAGCGGAUGACUUGUGGCUGGGGGUGAAAGGCCAAUCAAACCGGGAGAUAGCUGGUUCUCCCCGAAAGCUAUUUAGGUAGCGCCUCGUGAAUUCAUCUCCGGGGGUAGAGCACUGUUUCGGCAAGGGGGUCAUCCCGACUUACCAACCCGAUGCAAACUGCGAAUACCGGAGAAUGUUAUCACGGGAGACACACGGCGGGUGCUAACGUCCGUCGUGAAGAGGGAAACAACCCAGACCGCCAGCUAAGGUCCCAAAGUCAUGGUUAAGUGGGAAACGAUGUGGGAAGGCCCAGACAGCCAGGAUGUUGGCUUAGAAGCAGCCAUCAUUUAAAGAAAGCGUAAUAGCUCACUGGUCGAGUCGGCCUGCGCGGAAGAUGUAACGGGGCUAAACCAUGCACCGAAGCUGCGGCAGCGACGCUGAUGCGUUGUUGGGUAGGGGAGCGUUCUGUAAGCCUGUGAAGGUGUGCUGUGAGGCAUGCUGGAGGUAUCAGAAGUGCGAAUGCUGACAUAAGUAACGAUAAAGCGGGUGAAAAGCCCGCUCGCCGGAAGACCAAGGGUUCCUGUCCAACGUUAAUCGGGGCAGGGUGAGUCGACCCCUAAGGCGAGGCCGAAAGGCGUAGUCGAUGGGAAACAGGUUAAUAUUCCUGUACUUGGUGUUACUGCGAAGGGGGGACGGAGAAGGCUAUGUUGGCCGGGCGACGGUUGUCCCGGUUUAAGCGUGUAGGCUGGUUUUCCAGGCAAAUCCGGAAAAUCAAGGCUGAGGCGUGAUGACGAGGCACUACGGUGCUGAAGCAACAAAUGCCCUGCUUCCAGGAAAAGCCUCUAAGCAUCAGGUAACAUCAAAUCGUACCCCAAACCGACACAGGUGGUCAGGUAGAGAAUACCAAGGCGCUUGAGAGAACUCGGGUGAAGGAACUAGGCAAAAUGGUGCCGUAACUUCGGGAGAAGGCACGCUGAUAUGUAGGUGAAGUCCCUUGCGGAUGGAGCUGAAAUCAGUCGAAGAUACCAGCUGGCUGCAACUGUUUAUUAAAAACACAGCACUGUGCAAACACGAAAGUGGACGUAUACGGUGUGACGCCUGCCCGGUGCCGGAAGGUUAAUUGAUGGGGUUAGCGCAAGCGAAGCUCUUGAUCGAAGCCCCGGUAAACGGCGGCCGUAACUAUAACGGUCCUAAGGUAGCGAAAUUCCUUGUCGGGUAAGUUCCGACCUGCACGAAUGGCGUAAUGAUGGCCAGGCUGUCUCCACCCGAGACUCAGUGAAAUUGAACUCGCUGUGAAGAUGCAGUGUACCCGCGGCAAGACGGAAAGACCCCGUGAACCUUUACUAUAGCUUGACACUGAACAUUGAGCCUUGAUGUGUAGGAUAGGUGGGAGGCUUUGAAGUGUGGACGCCAGUCUGCAUGGAGCCGACCUUGAAAUACCACCCUUUAAUGUUUGAUGUUCUAACGUGGACCCGUAAUCCGGGUUGCGGACAGUGUCUGGUGGGUAGUUUGACUGGGGCGGUCUCCUCCUAAAGAGUAACGGAGGAGCACGAAGGUUGGCUAAUCCUGGUCGGACAUCAGGAGGUUAGUGCAAUGGCAUAAGCCAGCUUGACUGCGAGCGUGACGGCGCGAGCAGGUGCGAAAGCAGGUCAUAGUGAUCCGGUGGUUCUGAAUGGAAGGGCCAUCGCUCAACGGAUAAAAGGUACUCCGGGGAUAACAGGCUGAUACCGCCCAAGAGUUCAUAUCGACGGCGGUGUUUGGCACCUCGAUGUCGGCUCAUCACAUCCUGGGGCUGAAGUAGGUCCCAAGGGUAUGGCUGUUCGCCAUUUAAAGUGGUACGCGAGCUGGGUUUAGAACGUCGUGAGACAGUUCGGUCCCUAUCUGCCGUGGGCGCUGGAGAAUUGAGGGGGGCUGCUCCUAGUACGAGAGGACCGGAGUGGACGCAUCACUGGUGUUCGGGUUGUCAUGCCAAUGGCACUGCCCGGUAGCUAAAUGCGGAAGAGAUAAGUGCUGAAAGCAUCUAAGCACGAAACUUGCCCCGAGAUGAGUUCUCCCUGACUCCUUGAGAGUCCUGAAGGAACGUUGAAGACGACGACGUUGAUAGGCCGGGUGUGUAAGCGCAGCGAUGCGUUGAGCUAACCGGUACUAAUGAACCGUGAGGCUUAACCUU